UACGUAGGGUGCUAGCGUUGUUCGGAAUCAUUGGGCGUAAAGCGCGUGUAGGUGGUUAGUUAAGUCGGGUGUGAAAUCCCUGGGCUUAACCGAGGAAGUGCAUCCGAAACUAACUAACUGGAGGACGGCAGAGGAAGGUGGAAUUCCUAGUGUAGAGGUGAAAUUCGUAGAUAUUAGGAGGAAUACCUGUGGCGAAGGCGGCCUUCUGGACCGUUCCUGACACUGAGACGCGAAAGCGUGGGUAGCAAACAGG
rnacentral:rRNA from 1 species